GAUGAUCAGGUUAAGAGGAAGUCAUUAGGGUGGGCCCUAGUCUGAAAUGGCUUGUGUCCCUAUAGAGAGGGAGAUUCGGUCUCAGAGACAGACACAGAGAGAGCUCCAUGGGAAGGCCAGGGUUCUGCUGCUACAGGCAAGCAGUUCCCAGGAGCUGGAGAGGCCUGGAGCAGGUCCUCUCUAGUGCUCUCAGAGGGAGCCUAGGCCUAGGGUGCCAUGAUCGCAGGCUUCUGGCCUCCAGACUGGGAGAGAAUAAAUUCCUUCUGCUUUAACCUGCAGAGUGCAAAAUUUUUUUCUCUGCAUGGAGACCUGAUAUUCUCAACACCACGUAUCAAUCACAGACUCCCACUUGUGGGUCCACUUCCAGCAUGAACAGAAAGAAGGGUUCCUGAAGCUCCUUCUGGCUGCCCCAUCUCACCCAUUGGUCCGUGUACUCCUUUACUCCCGUCUCACCCGCCGGUCCGCGUACUCCUUUACUCCUGUCUCACACCUUUCAACCGUCUGCCUUAGUAACUGUAGAGGGGGUUCCUUCCUGUUGGCGCUUCUUCCCAAGAAUUGUAGUAGGAAUUCAGGGAAUUUUAUUUUUCCAUCCAAAUUUUGGAAGCAGUUGUCCCCAUUGCUAAAAAUUCCCGCUGGAAGCUUCCUUUUGAAUCACAUUAAUUGUACAGGGUACUUCAGUAAGAAUGUUACUUCAUUCUUACUGUUCAUUCUCCCUGUUCCCUAAGAAUGUUACUUCAGUAAGAGCUGGCUGGUCCUGGGAGGGGCCCUCGAAGGGCCAGCAAGGCUCCAAGGCUCCAAGGCUUCAAAGCACUAGAAAAUACAAAAAAAAAAUUUUUUAAAUGGAUGAUGUGGCAUGGACACUUUAUAAUUUUGAGAACGAUUUUUCACCAACAUGGUUAUUCUACCAUUUAUUUAGAUGUUCUUUCAUGCCCUUUGAUAGCAUUUUAAAUUUUUC
rnacentral:lncRNA from 10 species